GCCUGGGUGGCUCAGUCGGUUAAGCGUCUGACUUCGGCUCAGGUCAUGAUCUCGCGGUUCGUGAGUUCAAGCCCCACAUCGGGCU
rnacentral:tRNA from 1 species